rnacentral:rRNA from 1 species
CACCAAGGCGAUGAUCGGUAGCCGGCCUGAGAGGGCGCACGGCCACACUGGCACUGAAACACGGGCCAGACUCCUACGGGAGGCAGCAGUGGGGAAUUUUGCACAAUGCCCGAAAGGGUGAUGCAGCAACGCCGCGUGAGGGAUGAAGGCCUUCGGGUCGUAAACCUCUUUCGACUGGGAAAAAUGGGCUGGUGAAAAGCCAGUUCUGAUGGUACCGGUGGAAGAAGCCCCGGCCAACUACGUGCCAGCAGCCGCGGUAAUACGUAGGGGGCGAGCGUUGUUCGGAAUUACUGGGCGUAAAGGCGUGUAGGCGGCGCGGAAGUUGGGCGUGAAAUCCCCGGGCUUACCCGGGGGGGCCGUUCAGACUGCCGUGCUAGGGUGCGGGAGAGGGAAGUGGAAUUCCCGGUGUAGCAGUGAAAUGCGUAGAUAUCGGGAGGAACACCUGCGGCGAAGGCGGCUUCCUGGACCGUAACCGACGCUGAGGCGCGAAAGCUAGGGGAGCAAACAGGAUUAGAUACCCUGGUAGUCCUAGCCCUAAACGAUGAACACUGGGUGUGGCCCCUCACGGGGGCGUGCCGAAGCUAACGCAUUAAGUGUUCCGCCCUGG